rnacentral:lncRNA from 1 species
CAUAAUUCUUUUCUCCUUCUUCUCUCUUCUCUCUCUCUUCACUCUCUCUACGCCGCCCCAGCUCCGCCCACCGCCGCCGGCCGGAAAUUGCCGCCGCCGGCCGGAAAUCGCCGCCGCCGGAGGACCACCUCCAAAUUCACACCAUGUAAUCUCCACAACUUCCUCUUUUCAUAUCUCCAAACCAAAUCCUUCAAAAAUCCUUCAAACUCCUUGAAUCUUAGAUCUAGGAAACUUUCCCGUCACUUUUUUGCCCAAAUUAUUGAAGCUCCAACCACUACCACCUCACAAUACCUACAUCAAUGGAUAGAGCUCCUCAAGACCUAGCUAUUGAUGCCAAUUUCACCCUGAAAAUUCGGCGACCUCCCCGAACACCCUCUUUUGGCAUAACACUAUUUUUUUCGGCCACUUGAAUUGUAAAAUGGUAAAAUCUUAUUCUUUUUCAUGGCUGAUUUUUUAUUUUUAUAAUUAAUUAUUUUAGCAUUAGUUUUUGAAGUUUUGGAAUGUUAAAUUUACUGUUUUUGCACUUAUUGAAGUAGUAAAAUAGCUUUGUGUUAAUUAAAGUGAGGUAGUGAGGAAAUGCUUGAGAGUAUAUGGUAAAAUCGUAAUUUUGCCCCGUUAUUAAUUUUUUUAGUUAAAGUUAGUUUCUAUCUUGUUUCUUCAUUUAAUUCAUUUUUGAUUAUGUUUGUCUAGUUGGUUUUAUUAAAUCGCUCCAACGAUAGCGUGCGUUUCGUUUGGCUUUAAUAGUUAAUUUUUGUUUGCUUACGAUUGGUUCAUAACACAUGUGUGAAGUUUAAUUACAUGUUUUAAUACCUGGUUUAGUUUGAAUCAACAGGGUGAUAUUGAUGUUGUUAAAAUCUGAAGUUUAUGUUAUUUUAUCACAAAAUAAGGUGCUAGUAGCCUACUUUUACUAGUUAGGGUGGCUGAAAUGAUAUGUUUUCUCUUUGUUUAUGACAUAGUAGAUUUCCUUUGACCUUUGGACAGAUUUUGAACAGUGUUUAGCACACAAUGUCAGUUUUUGUCGGACAGAGAUUUGGUGAACCAAAAUCUUUCCAAAUUUGCCUAUUUAAGGGCUGUCCUUUCCUCACUUUGGAGGACUCCAUCACACUUCCAGG